UGCUGCAAAGUUUAGGUGGAA
rnacentral:misc_RNA from 1 species